rnacentral:rRNA from 1 species
GACGAACGCUGGCGGCGUGCUUAACACAUGCAAGUCGAGCGAGAAAGCUCCUUCGGGAGUGAGUACAGCGGCGAACGGGUGAGUAACACGUGGGCGAACCUGCCCUAGGGACGCGGGACAACCCGAGGGAAACUCGGGGCUAAUACCGCAUGAUUCGUCGUGCCUCAAGGCGCGACGGGAAAUGGUAGCUUCGGCCUCCGCCCUGGGAUGGGCCCGCGCCGCAUUAGCUUGUUGGUGAGGAACGGCUCACCAAGGCAACGAUGCGUAGCUGGUCUGAGAGGACGAUCAGCCACACUGGGACUGAGACACGGCCCAGACUCCUACGGGAGGCAGCAGUGGGGAAUCUUGCGCAA